rnacentral:rRNA from 1 species
GGACUACCAGGGUUUCUAAUCCUGUUUGCUCCCCACGCUUUCGUGUCUCAACGUCAGGAAUGAGCCAAGAAGCUGCCUUCGCCAUUGGUGUUCCUCCCGAGAUCCACGCAUUUUACCGCUACUCCGGGAAUUCCACUUCUCUCUCUCACCCUCUAGCUCACCAGUUUUCAUUGCAAUACUCCAGUUAGGCCGGAGCCUUUAACAACGAACUUAAUGGACCGUCUACACACCCUUUACGCCCAGUGAUUCCGAAUAACGCUUGCACCCUUCGUAUUACCGCGGCUGCUGGCAC